GAUUGGUGCAGGAUGUAUCGCAACUUACUAAUAUUUUUCAUUUCAUUUUCCCUAAUGGUAGAUGUUACCAAAUCUGUUGUCUGUGAACCAAAUUGUUCUCUAGUUUUGUGUCGACCCAUAGAAAACUGUGAUGGUCCUAACCAGGUAAUCAAAAAACCACUAGGUGAAUGUCCAUCCUGUGACGUUUGUUACACUAUUGUGGGUGAAAAAGAAAAGUGUGGUGAAACCGAAGCAACAUUUUUUGUGUGUGAAGUAGGACUUACAUGCCAUCAUGGAAAAUGCAGGAAAAUUAAAUAACUGCUCAUAAAUGACAUUAUUAAAUAUUAGGCAACUUAACACAACAAAAAAUGAAUGGACCACGAACAUUCCCAAUUAUGACCCAAGUAACUGUUCAUUAUUUUGAAUUAAUCGUUUGUCACGGGUCCAUCAUUGUACGUGCAUUGUCCCCAUUAAAAACCAUUAGAUUUAAUAUAUUAUCUGUCGUCUGACAAUAAUUUUGAAUAAUGAUGUGCUGGUAAAGUUAUUAAUCAAUUUUUUUUUCGGCCACUAUGUGAAACUAAUUGUUGUUCGGCCCAGGUAACCCUCUGAGAGUGGCCAUCUGCUUGGAAUUCUCCCCCUGGAACUAGCAUGCAGUCGUUAAGGAUGAUGGGGUUUAUAUUGUAUUAUCAUGUAAUCGGCUCAUCUCGAGAUAAUUGUAUCUUUUCUAAUGGUAGUUUUGUACGAGAGGCUGUUACACUUAAAUAAACUAAUCAUUGUUCUCUU